GACGAACGCUGGCGGCGUGCCUAAUACAUGCAAGUCGAGCGCAGGAAACUGACGGAACUCUUCGGAGGGAAGGCAGCGGAAUGAGCGGCGGACGGGUGAGUAACACGUAAGGAACCUGCCUCAAGGAUUGGGAUAACUCCGAGAAAUCGGAGCUAAUACCGGAUAGUUCAACGGACCGCAUGGUCCGCUGAUGAAAGGCGCUUCGGCGUCACCUUGAGAUGGCCUUGUGGUGCAUUAGCCAGUUGGUGGGGUAACGGCCCACCAAGGCGACGAUGCAUAGCCGACCUGAGAGGGUGAUCGGCCACACUGGGACUGAGACACGGCCCAGACUCCUACGGGAGGCAGCAGUAGGGAAUCUUCCACAAUGGACGAAAGUCUGAUGGAGCAACGCCGCGUGAGUGAUGAAGGUUUUCGGAUCGUAAAACUCUGUUGUAAGGGAAGAACACGUACGAGAGGGAAUGCUCGUACCUUGACGGUACCUUACGAGAAAGCCACGGCUAACUACGUGCCAGCAGCCGCAGUAACAC
rnacentral:rRNA from 1 species